rnacentral:rRNA from 1 species
AGCGAACGCUGGCGGCAGGCCUAACACAUGCAAGUCGAACGAAGUCUUCGGACUUAGUGGCGGACGGGUGAGUAACACGUGGGAACGUGCCUUUAGGUUCGGAAUAACUCAGGGAAACUUGUGCUAAUACCGAAUGUGCCCUUCGGGGGAAAGAUUUAUCGCCUUUAGAGCGGCCCGCGUCUGAUUAGCUAGUUGGUGAGGUAAAGGCUCACCAAGGCUACGAUCAGUAGCUGGUCUGAGUGGAUGACCAGCCACAUUGGGACUGAGACACGGCCCAAACUCCUACGGGAGGCAGCAGUGGGGAAUCUUGCGCAAUGGGCGAAAGCCUGACGCAGCCAUGCCGCGUGGAUGAUGAAGGUCUAAGGAUUGUAAAAUCCUUUCACCGGUGAAGAUAAUGACUGUAGCCGGAGAAGAAGCCCCGGCUAACUUCGUGCCAGCCGCCGCGGUAAGAC